rnacentral:rRNA from 1 species
UACGGAGGGUGCAAGCAUUAAUCGGAUUUACUGGGCGUAAAGGGUGCGUAGGCGGAUUGGCAAGUCAGGUGUGAAAUCCCGGUACUCAAUACCGGAACAGCACUUGAAACUACCUCUCUAGAGGUUAGGCGGAGAGAACGGAAUUCCAUGUGUAGCGGUGAAAUGCGUAGAUAUAUGGAAGAACACCUGUGGCGUAGGCGGUUCUCUAGCUUAAUACUGACGCUGAGGCACGAGAGCGUGGGGAGCAAACAGG